AUGCUCAAAAUUCUCCAAGCCAGGCUUCAGCAAUACGUGAACUGUGAACUCCCUGAUGUUCAAGCUGGUUUUAGAAAAGGCAGAGGAACCAGAGAUCAAAUUGCCAACAUCUGCUGGAUCAUGGAAAAAGCAAGAGAGUUCCAGAAAAACAUCUAUUUUUGCUUUCUUGACUGUGCCAAAGUCUUUGACUGUGUGGAUCACAAUAAACUGUGGAAAAUUCUGAAAGAGAUGAGAAUACCAGACCACCUGAUCUGCCUCUUGAGAAACCUGUAUGCAGGUCAGGAAGCAGCAGUUAGAACUGGACAUGGAACAACACACUGGUUCCAAAUAGGAAAAGGAGUACAUCAAGGCUGUAUAUUGUCACCCUGCUUAUUUAAGUUAUAUGCAGAGUACAUCAUGAGAAACGCUGGACUGGAAGAAACACAAGCUGGAAUCAAGAUUGCCGGGAGAAAUAUCAAUAACCUCAGAUAUGCAGAUGACACCACCCUUAUGGCAGAAAGUGAAGAGGAACUAAAAAGCCUCGUGAUGAAAGUGAAAUUGGAGAGUGAAAAAGUUGGCCUAAAGCUCAACAUUCAGAAAACGAAGAUCAUGGCAUCUGGUCCCAACACUUCAUGGGAAAUAGAUGGGAAAACAGUGGAAACAGUGUCACACUUUAUUUUUGGGGGCUCCAAAAUCACUGCAGAUGGUGACUACAGCCAUGAAAUUAAAAGAUGCUUACUCCGUGGAAGAAAAGUUAUGACUAAUCUAGAUAGUAUAUUCAAAAGCAGAGACAUUACUUUGCCGACUAAGGUCCAUCUAGUCAAGGCUAUGGUUUUUCCUGUGGUCAUGUAUGGAUGUGAGAGUUGGACUGUGGAGAAGGCUGAGUGCCAAAGAAUUGAUGCUUUUGAACUGUGGUGUUGGAGAAGACUCUUGAGAGUCCCUUGGACUGCAAGGAGAUCCAACCAGUCCAUUCUGAAGGCGAUCAGCCCUGGGAUUUCUUUGGAAGGAAUGAUGCUAAAGCUGAAACUCCAGUACUUUGGCCACCUCAUGCGAAGAGUUCACUCAUUGGAAAAGACUCUGAUGCUGGGAGGGAUUGGGGGCAGGAGGAGAAGGGGAUGA
rnacentral:lncRNA from 1 species